AGGGAUUAGGGUUAGUAUUUGGGACCAAUCUCCCUCUCUCGUGAAGCUCAUAAUCUCUCUUUCUCCUUCCUCACUCGCGAUCAAGACGAAGCGGCAGCCUCCGCUCCAAACUCUUCUCCGUCCUUUCUCUUCUCCGUCCUUCCUCUUCUCCAUCCUUUCUCCGGCGAACGGCGCAACGGCGAUUUGCAACCAAACACGACGAAGAUCAUCUCUCCGCUCCAAACUCUCUUUCAUCGUCGAUCUGCUCUCUCUCUCUCUCUCUCUCUCUCUCUCUCUCUCUCUCUCUCUCUCUCUCUCUCUCUCGAUUCAAAUUGAAUCAUUGCGAUUGUGAAGAAAGUUUGAUGUUCUUCGAAAUCCAAAAGUCUCCAAGAAAUCUAUUCACGGAAGUAGCGGCGAUUGCGAUACAUUUCUGAUACUAUUCUUCUGUUUUGAAGAGAGAUUUCAGAAGGAAUCUUUGCUAAGUUCAUCUGCUGUUCGACCGACCUUGGUUAAGGUACUGUUCUUGUUGAGAGUACGCAAGAACCGAAGCAUGUCGUUCGGCAGCUCAUUGUUUGCAUAGACGUUUCUUUGACGGCAGAAUAAUGAUAGUUCAGUAUAUUGCCCCGAGUCUAUACAGAGCAAGAUUUACAAAAUGAGCAUUUCAAAGUGAGGGAUAUUGCUCCAGUUAUUGAGGGUGCUGUUAACCACAUUGCCUCGAGAAGAUUUGAGUUUGGAGGUACUGAUCUAACUAAUUAUCUGGCUCAAGAACUAGGCAAAUCCAAUCCGCAAGUGAAUAUCAGUAUGUCUGAUGUUGAGAAAAUAAACAGCUAUACUCAUGUUGUGCUGAAGAUGACUUUGCUUAUCUGAAGACCAAAGAUCAUUGUCCUGUGGAGACACAUACCCUUCCUGAUGGACAGUGCAGGUGAUAACAAUUGGAAGAGAAAUAUAUACAGUUGGUGAAGCUUUAUUCCAGCCAAGUCUAUUGGGUUUAGAGGCUCAUGGCAUUGUAGAGCAGCUUGUCUGUACUAUUUCAACAGUGACAUAUGAUAAUCAUCGGCAACUUCUGGAAAAUACUGUGGUUUGUGGUGGCACUUCUUCUAUGACUGGUUAACCGAUGGUUGUCAAGUUGUGGUUAUAAGCUUUGGUAUGAGAUUCGAAUAUUCUUUGGAGGACCUGACGAUAAUGAAGCGCUUGCUUACGGUAUGAGAAUAGCCAAACAUCCCGACAUUGUGCUAACUGUUGUUAAAUUUGUGUCUCCACCCGGAACAACAUUAUCAUUCAGCGCUAAGUUAGUUGGUGUUGCAUCGAUAGAAUAUACUAUGUUAGGAAGAAUGUAAAUAGGUUAACAGUUGAUUGUAUAUUAUCAAAGAAUGUAAAUAGGUUAACUGGUGAUUGUAUGUUAUCAUUUCAUCAUUAAUUUUUUUACUGAGGUACUUUUGAAUUUUCAUUUGUAUCAUAUUUCCAAACAAAUGAUAUUAUUAUUAUGAUUAUUAUUAUUAUUAUUAUGAUUAUGAUUAUUAUUAUGAUUAUGAUUAUGAUUAUGAUUAUGAUUAUUAUUGUUAUUGUUAUUAUUAUUAUUAUUAUCAUUAUUAUUAUUAUUAUUUUGUGUAAAAAACAGGUGCAUAUAAAAUAUAUAA